rnacentral:rRNA from 1 species
UACGUAGGUGGCAAGCGUUUGUCCGGAAUUAUUGGGCGUAAAGCGCGCGCAGGCGGCCUCUUAAGUCUGAUGUGAAAGCCCCCGGCUCAACCGGGGAGGGCCAUUGGAAACUGGGAGGCUUGAGUAUAGGAGAGAAGAGUGGAAUUCCACGUGUAGCGGUGAAAUGCGUAGAGAUGUGGAGGAACACCAGUGGCGAAGGCGACUCUUUGGCCUAUAAACUGACGCUGAGGCGCGAAAGCGUGGGGAGCAAACAGG